rnacentral:rRNA from 1 species
UACGAAGGGUGCAAGCGUUACUCGGAAUUACUGGGCGUAAAGGGUGCGUAGGCGGCGCGGUAAGUCGGGUGUGAAAUCUUGGAGCUUAACUCCGAAACUGCAUUCGAUACUGCCGUGCUUGAGGACUGGAGAGGAGACUGGAAUUUACGGUGUAGCGGUGAAAUGCGUAGAUAUCGUAAGGAAGACCAGUGGCGAAGGCGGGGUCUCUGGACAGUUCCUGACGCUGAAGCACGAAGGCCAGGGGAGCAAACGGG